rnacentral:rRNA from 1 species
GCGGCGUGCCUAAUACAUGCAAGUAGAACGCUGAAGAGAGGAGCUUGCUCUUCUUGGAUGAGUUGCGAACGGGUGAGUAACGCGUAGGUAACCUGCCUGGUAGCGGGGGAUAACUAUUGGAAACGAUAGCUAAUACCGCAUAAAAUGGAUUAUCGCAUGAUAAUCCAUUGAAAGGUGCAAAUGCAUCACUACCAGAUGGACCUGCGUUGUAUUAGUUAGUUGGUGGGGUAACGGCUCACCAAGGCGACGAUACAUAGCCGACCUGAGAGGGUGAACGGCCACACUGGGACUGAGACACGGCCCAGACUCCUACGGGAGGCAGCAGUAGGGAAUCUUCGGCAAUGGACGGAAGUCUGACCGAGCAACGCCGCGUGAGUGAAGAAGGUUUUCGGAUCGUAAAGCUCUGUUGUAAGAGAAGAACGAGUGUGAGAGUGGAAAGUUCACACUGUGACGGUAUCUUACCAGAAAGGGACGGCUAACUACGUGCCAGCAGCCGCGGUAAUACGUAGGUCCCGAGCGUUGUCCGGAUUUAUUGGGCGUAAAGCGAGCGCAGGCGGUUAGAUAAGUCUGAAGUUAAAGGCUGUGGCUUAACCAUAGUACGCUUUGGAAACUGUUUAACUUGAGUGCAAGAGGGGAGAGUGGAAUUCCAUGUGUAGCGGUGAAAUGCGUAGAUAUAUGGAGGAACACCGGUGGCGAAAGCGGCUCUCUGGCUUGUAACUGACGCUGAGGCUCGAA